rnacentral:rRNA from 1 species
UACAGAGGGGGCAAGCGUUGUUCGGAAUUACUGGGCGUAAAGGGCGCGUAGGCGGCCUUCUAAGUCGAACGUGAAAUCCCCGGGCUCAACCCGGGAACUGCGUCCGGUACUGGAAGGCUUGAAUUCGGGAGAGGGAUGCGGAAUUCCAGGUGUAGCGGUGAAAUGCGUAGAUAUCUGGAGGAACGCCGGUGGCGAAGGCGGCAUCCUGGACCGGCAUUGACGCUGAGGCGCGAAAGCCAGGGGAGCAAGCGGG